CGAGAGGGGCCAGGCGCCCGGUAGAUCUGAAGCCGGGUAAUGGGAGAAGAUGGUUUACAUCUCGAACGGACAAGUGUUGGACAGCCAGAGUCAGUCUCCAUGGAGAUUAUCUUUCAUAACAGAUUUCUUCUGGGGAAUAGCUGAGUUUGUGGUUUUGUUUUUCAAAACUCUGCUUCAGCAAGAUGUGAAAAAAAGAAGCAGCUAUGGAAACUCAUCUGAUUCCAGAUAUGAUGAUGGAAGAGGGCCACCGGGAAACCCUCCCCGAAGAAUGGGUAGAAUCAAUCAUCUGCGUGGCCCUAGUCCUCCUCCAAUGGCGGGUGGAUGAGGAAGGUAAAUGUCUGCUCUAA